UUCAAACUUCAGAGCAAUGGCGCAAGCACGGAUGAAUCUAUUCAGGUGAACCUGUUCCUGGGACAACUGACUGGUAGGUCUGUCGGCUUUACCAUGAUGGGGUUGUUCGUCGUUACCAAAGAAGUCUUACUAACUAUUGCUGGCCUUUUCAUGACGUACUUCUUUC